rnacentral:rRNA from 1 species
GACGAACGCUGGCGGCGUGCCUAAUACAUGCAAGUCGAGCGGAUCAUUCCUUCGGGGAUGGUUAGCGGCGGACGGGUGAGUAACACGUAGGCAACCUGCCUGUAAGAUCGGGAUAACUACCGGAAACGGUAGCUAAGACCGGAUAGCUGGUUUCUCCGCAUGGAGGAAUCAUGAAACACGGUGCAAGCUGUGGCUUACAGAUGGGCCUGCGGCGCAUUAGCUAGUUGGUGAGGUAACGGCCCACCAAGGCGACGAUGCGUAGCCGACCUGAGAGGGUGAUCGGCCACACUGGGACUGAGACACGGCCCAGACUCCUACGGGAGGCAGCAGUAGGGAAUCUUCCGCAAUGGACGCAAGUCUGACGGAGCAACGCCGCGUGAGUGAUGAAGGUUUUCGGAUCGUAAAGCUCUGUUGCCAGGGAAGAACGCUUGGGAGAGUAACUGCUCCUGAGGUGACGGUACCUGAGAAGAAAGCCCCGGCUAACUACGUGCCAGCCGCCGCCGUAAAAC